AGUUCACGUGAGGAAAAUCUUCUGUCAGCUCAUUAUGAAGAGUUGCAUAGAUUGUGCAAGUUUCUUAUGCAGAUUCCACGUAAAAUUAGUGGUUCCAGGUGUUUCCCGUGAUAUUGCAUAAGCUAUGUAGGUUGGUUGUGCAGUUUCUUCAAGCCUUGGAGACUUCUAUGAAACUGCAUAAGUAGACUGCAUAAGUUAUGCAAGCCCUUAUGCAGUUUUCGGCAGGUUUUAGACUCUCUGCGUGAAGUUGCAUAAGCAGAGUGCGAGCAUAAGUUAAUGCAAUUUUCUGUGAAGUUGCAUAAGCAGGAUGUGAGCUUGCAUAAAUCAUACAGAAUAGUUAUGCAGAUUUCGGCAGGUUUGAGAGUUUGUUUCUUCUUCUUGUGCAGAACUGCACAACUUAUGCGGUAAGUUAUGCGCAAUUUAGCCAAUGCAUACUUCAACUUUGAA
rnacentral:misc_RNA from 1 species